AUACAGAGGGUGCGAGCGUUAAUCGGAAUUACUGGGCGUAAAGCGCGCGUAGGCGGUUAUUUAAGUCAGAUGUAAAAUCCCUGGGCUCAACCUAGGAACUGCAUCUGAAACUGGGUAACUAGAGUUUAGGAGAGGGGAGUAGAAUUUCGGGUGUAGCGGUGAAAUGCAUAGAGAUCCGAAGGAAUACCAGUGGCGAAGGCGACUCCCUGGCCUAGAACUGACGCUGAGGUGCGAAAGCGUGGGUAGCAAACGGGAUUAGAUACCCUUGUAGUCC
rnacentral:rRNA from 1 species